CCUACGGGCGGCAGCAGUGAGGAAUAUUGGUCAAUGGCCGGAAGGCUGAACCAGCCAUGCCGCGUGAAGGUCAGGGCCCUAGGGGCGUUAAACUUCUUUUGUGCGGGAGCAAUAAUGGUCACGUGUGGCCAGACGAGAGUACCGUACGAAUAAGCAUCGGCUAACUCCGUGCCAGCAGCCGCGGUAAUACGUAGGGGGCAAGCGUUAUCCGGAAUUAUUGGGCGUAAAGAGUACGUAGGCGGUUCUUUAAGCGUAGGGUCUAAGGCGAUGGGUUAACCAUCGUUCGCCCUGUGAACUGGAGGACUUGAGUAUCGGAGAGGAAAGCGGAAUUCCUAGUGUAGCGGUGAAAUGCGUAGAUAUUAGGAGGAACACCAGUGGCGAAGGCGGCUUUCUGGACGAAAACUGACGCUGAGGUACGAAAGCGUGGGGAGCAAACAGGAUUAGAUACCCGUGUAGUC
rnacentral:rRNA from 1 species